CAACAGAAUAGAGAAUUCUGCCUCGGAACCAGAAUGCUGGACAAAGUAUCUGAGAAGAUCCAGCGGGAGUGGAGGGCAGCAGAAGUGCAGAGGAGCCAACUGACCUGACACUGGAUGAGGACAAUGCCCAGGGAGAGAAGCAGAGACCAGAGGGCUGACUGCCUUUCCCAUUUACCGCUGUGAGCAAGGACACAUCUUGGCUUGGAGGGAAACCAGAAUCUGGAGUGAAUGGACAGAGAGGGCACUUAAAGAACCCAUAGGCCCUAAAUCUAGGUGGAGAAAAUUGUGACUGGCUGGAUUAUAAAACUGCAGAUUCUGAAAAUAAAUCACUCACUUAAAAACA